ensembl:misc_RNA Metazoa_SRP Metazoan signal recognition particle RNA
GCUAGGUGUGGUGGUGCAUGGCUGUAGUUCUAGCUACUUGGGAGGCUGAGGUGGGAGGAUCACUUGAGCCCAGGAAGUGGAGGCUGUAGUGAGCAGUGAUUGUGCCACUGCACUCCAGCCAGGGCUACAAAGUGAGAUCCCAUCUCUU